rnacentral:ncRNA from 1 species
UAAAUGGGCAAAACAGUCGAAAGGCUGCGACGCAAAGCUAGAGGACCUGUAAAAUGGUAGCCAGUUGC